AGGUUAUAACCAAAUAAUGCACACCUAUAACUAUGAAGAAGAUUGCAUAGUGGACUAUAAGAAAAGAAAGCUCUUCUUAUUACCUACAAAAAUAGUUGAGCAAAAAUGAGCAUUCGACUCAUAGAGUGAUAUUGAACAAGCAGAUAGCAUUUAUAUCUAAUCUAUAAUCUAGUGCAAUCCUAAUAUUGGAAGGCAUUAUACAUCCACAUCAUAGUAAAGAUUCAAACAUUUUACGUAAGGGUAAUCCCUGAAACUCACGCGUGCACCCAUGAUACAAUAGAUAUGCAUAUAAGAGUAAACCUCUAUAUGAUUUUU
rnacentral:misc_RNA from 1 species